rnacentral:misc_RNA from 1 species
GAAAUGCGAUAAGUAAUGUGAAUUGCAGAAUUCAGUGAAUCAUCGAAUCUUUGAACGCACCUUGCGCUCCUUGGUAUUCCUUGGAGCAUGCCUGUUUGAGUAUCAUGAAAUCUUCAAAGUAAAUCUUUUGUUAACUCAAUUGGUUUCUACUUUGGUAUUGGAGGUCUUUGCAGCUUCACACCUGCUCCUCUUUGUUCAUUAACUGGAUCUCAGUGUUAUGCUUGGUUCCACUCGGCGUGAUAAGUUAUCUAUCGCUGAGGACACUGUAAAAGGUGGCCAAGGUAAAUGCAGAUGAACCGCUUCUAAUAGUCCAUUGACUUGGACAAUACUUUUAUGAUCUGAUCUCAAAUCAGGUAGGACUACCCGCUGAACUUAAGC